rnacentral:rRNA from 1 species
CACGUAGGGCGCAAGCGUUGUCCGGAAUUAUUGGGCGUAAAGAGCUCGUAGGCGGUCUGUUGCGUCCGCUGUGAAACUCGAGGCUCAACCUCGAGACGCCGAUGGAAACCGUCUGGCUAGAGUCCGGAAGAGGAGAGUGGAAUUCCUGGUGUAGCGGUGAAAUGCGCAGAUAUCAGGAAGAACACCCGUGGCUAAGGCGGCUCUCUAGUACGGUACUGACGCUGAGACGCGAAGCGUGGGGAGCGAACAGG